AUGCACCUGGGCAAGGAUUCUGA
rnacentral:miRNA from 12 species